rnacentral:rRNA from 1 species
UUCUGGUUGAUCCUGCCGGACCUGACUGCUAUCGGAUUGAUACUAAGCCAUGCGAGUCAUUGUAGCAAUACAAGGCAGACGGCUCAGUAACGCGUAGUCAACCUAACCUAUGGACGGGAAUAACCUCGGGAAACUGAGAAUAAUGCCCGAUAGAACACUAUACCUGGAAUGGUUUGUGUUCCAAAUGAUUUAUCGCCGUAGGAUGGGACUGCGGCCUAUCAGUUUGUUGGUGAGGUAAUGGCCCACCAAGACUAUUACAGGUACGGGCUCUGAGAGGAGUAGCCCGGAGAUGGGUACUGAGACACGGACCCAGGCCCUAUGGGGCGCAGCAGGCGAGAAAACUUUGCAAUGUGCGAAAGCACGACAAGGUUAAUCCGAGUGGUUUCUGCUAAAGGAACCUUUUGUUAGUCCUAGAAACACUAACGAAUAAGGGGUGGGCAAGUUCUGGUGUCAGCCGCCGCGGUAAAACCAGCACCUCAAGUGGUCAGGAUGAUUAUUGGGCCUAAAGCAUCCGUAGCCGGCUCUGUAAGUUUUCGGUUAAAUCUGUACGCUUAACGUACAGGCUGCCGGGAAUACUGCAAAGCUAG